AAAUUGAAGAGUUUGAUCAUGGCUCAGAUUGAACGCUGGCGGCAGGCCUAACACAUGCAAGUCGAGCGGUAGCACAGAGAGCUUGCUCUCGGGUGACGAGCGGCGGACGGGUGAGUAAUGUCUGGGAAACUGCCUGAUGGAGGGGGAUAACUACUGGAAACGGUAGCUAAUACCGCAUAACGUCGCAAGACCAAAGUGGGGGACCUUCGGGCCUCAUGCCAUCAGAUGUGCCCAGAUGGGAUUAGCUAGUAGGUGGGGUAACGGCUCACCUAGGCGACGAUCCCUAGCUGGUCUGAGAGGAUGACCAGCCACACUGGAACUGAGACACGGUCCAGACUCCUACGGGAGGCAGCAGUGGGGAAUAUUGCACAAUGGGCGCAAGCCUGAUGCAGCCAUGCCGCGUGUGUGAAGAAGGCCUUCGGGUUGUAAAGCACUUUCAGCGGGGAGGAAGGCGNAANNNNNNNNNNNNNNNNNNUGACGUUACCCGCAGAAGAAGCACCGGCUAACUCCGUGCCAGCAGCCGCGGUAAUACGGAGGGUGCAAGCGUUAAUCGGAAUUACUGGGCGUAAAGCGCACGCAGGCGGUCUGUCAAGUCGGAUGUGAAAUCCCCGGGCUCAACCUGGGAACUGCAUUCGAAACUGGCAGGCUAGAGUCUUGUAGAGGGGGGUAGAAUUCCAGGUGUAGCGGUGAAAUGCGUAGAGAUCUGGAGGAAUACCGGUGGCGAAGGCGGCCCCCUGGACAAAGACUGACGCUCAGGUGCGAAAGCGUGGGGAGCAAACAGGAUUAGAUACCCUGGUAGUCCACGCCGUAAACGAUGUCGAUUUGGAGGUUGUGCCCUUGAGGCGUGGCUUCCGGAGCUAACGCGUUAAAUCGACCGCCUGGGGAGUACGGCCGCAAGGUUAAAACUCAAAUGAAUUGACGGGGGCCCGCACAAGCGGUGGAGCAUGUGGUUUAAUUCGAUGCAACGCGAAGAACCUUACCUGGUCUUGACAUCCACAGAACUUUCCAGAGAUGNNUUGGUGCCUUCGGGAACUGUGAGACAGGUGCUGCAUGGCUGUCGUCAGCUCGUGUUGUGAAAUGUUGGGUUAAGUCCCGCAACGAGCGCAACCCUUAUCCUUUGUUGCCAGCGGUNNGGCCGGGAACUCAAAGGAGACUGCCAGUGAUAAACUGGAGGAAGGUGGGGAUGACGUCAAGUCAUCAUGGCCCUUACGACCAGGGCUACACACGUGCUACAAUGGCAUAUACAAAGAGAAGCGACCUCGCGAGAGCAAGCGGACCUCAUAAAGUAUGUCGUAGUCCGGAUUGGAGUCUGCAACUCGACUCCAUGAAGUCGGAAUCGCUAGUAAUCGUAGAUCAGAAUGCUACGGUGAAUACGUUCCCGGGCCUUGUACACACCGCCCGUCACACCAUGGGAGUGGGUUGCAAAAGAAGUAGGUAGCUUAACCUUCGGGAGGGCGCUUACCACUUUGUGAUUCAUGACUGGGGUGAAGUCGUAACAAGGUAACCGUAGGGGAACCUGCGGUUGGAUCACCUCCUUA
rnacentral:rRNA from 1 species